CUGCAGUCAGUUAAACUUACUCUGCUCCUGCCUACAUAGGGCCCAGUGUGAAAUGGCUGCAAAUAGCAGUCUCCUCCAUAGGGUACACAGGCAGUUGCUUGUAUGGGUUGCCCUGAGAGGUCUUGGAGACUGUC